GACGAACGCUGGCGGCGUGCCUAAUACAUGCAAGUCGAGCGGACAGAAGGGAGCUUGCUCCCGGAUGUUAGCGGCGGACGGGUGAGUAACACGUGGGUAACCUGCCUGUAAGACUGGGAUAACUCCGGGAAACCGGAGCUAAUACCGGAUGGUUCCUUGAACCGCAUGGUUCAAGGAUGAAAGACGGUUUCGGCUGUCACUUACAGAUGGACCCGCGGCGCAUUAGCUAGUUGGUGAGGUAACGGCUCACCAAGGCGACGAUGCGUAGCCGACCGGAGAGGGUGAGCGGCCACACUGGGACUGAGACACGGCCCAGACUCCUACGGGAGGCAGCAGUAGGGAAUCUUCCGCAAUGGACGAAAGUCUGACGGAGCAACGCCGCGUGAGUGAUGAAGGUUUUCGGAUCGUAAAGCUCUGUUGUUAGGGAAGAACAAGUGCAAGAGUAACUGCUUGCACCUUGACGGUACCUAACCAGAAAGCCACGGCUAACUACGUGCCAGCCGCCGCCGUAAUAC
rnacentral:rRNA from 1 species